GUGAAUCAUCAAAUUUUUGAACGCAAAUUGCACUUCUUGGUAUUCCGAGGAGUACACAUGCUUGAGGGUCAGUUAAAAAAAAAUCUUACAUCUUUUAUUUUGCGGAUCUGAUUAUUCCGAUUUUAUUAAUCGUUUACCUAAAUUUAUUUAUAUUUAAUUUGAAGCUUCUUAUUUUUAUUCGCUAUUCUUUUUAUUUUU
rnacentral:misc_RNA from 1 species